ACAGUACAAAAUAUGAGAAUAUUCGAUGCCAGUGUUUGUAUUAUCCCUACCUAUGCACUUGAGGCUGUCAGGAAACACCCUGAAGAAAAGGAAGAAUCAUCUAGGAAAAGUUUGACCAACGCAUAUGGGAGAACAAACUGGCCCAAUAGAAUCCUCUUUCCAUUUCAUUGCAGUUAUUGGCAUUGGGUAGCUGUGGAAAUAAAUCUUGAAGAAUAAAGAGUUUAUGUUGUUGAUUCACUGGAUGAUAGAAAGUCUAUGGAAGAAGUAAUUCCAGUUGUUAAAAAAUUCCUUAAAGCAAUUGGAAAAUUAUGCCAUUUAAACUUUUUAUACAAGGAUGGACCUAUCCAAGAUAAUUCAAAGGAAUGUGGAUGUUUUGUCCUGUAUAAUUUGCUUCAAAUUGAUCAAGAGAAAUUACCUUCAAAGGAUGAAUUAAAAAUUGGAAUUAACUUCAGGAGAUACCUUUUAGCAGUCACACAUGGCGGAGGGCAAAGCAGUGUGAAAUACCCUUAUUUAAAAAAUCCAAGAAC